UACGUAGGGUGCGAGCGUUGUCCGGAAUUAUUGGGCGUAAAGAGCUUGUAGGCGGUUUGUCGCGUCUGCCGUGAAAAUUCGAGGCUCAACCUCGAACUUGCGGUGGGUACGGGCAGACUAGAGUGAUGUAGGGGAGACUGGAAUUCCUGGUGUAGCGGUGAAAUGCGCAGAUAUCAGGAGGAACACCGAUGGCGAAGGCAGGUCUCUGGGCAUUAACUGACGCUGAGGAGCGAAAGCAUGGGUAGCGAACAGG
rnacentral:rRNA from 1 species